AGUGAACGCUGGCGGCAGGCCUAACACAUGCAAGUCGAGCGGCAGCGCGGUGGCAACCCUCGCUGCGGGCGGCGGACGGGUGGGGGAGUGGUCGGAAUAUGCCUUUUUGUGGGUGAUAAGGUGGGAAAACUUACGCUAAUACCGCAUACGUCCAACGGAAGAAAGGGUGGGAGCGCAAGGCCUCACGACCAAAGAUGAGCCGAUGACCGAUUAGCUAGUUGGUGGGGUAAAGGCCCACCAAGGCGACGAUCCGUAGCUGGUCUGAGAGGAUGAUCAGCCACACUGGAACUGAGACACGGUCCAGACUCCUACGGGAGGCAGCAGUGGGGAAUAUUGGACAAUGGGCGCAAGCCUGAUCCAGCCAUGCCGCGUGGGUGAAGAAGGCCUUCGGGUUGUAAAGCCCUUUUGUUGGGAAAGAAAAGCCUGGAGUUAAUACCUCGGUGUGAUGACGGUACCGGAAGAAUAAGCACCGGCUAACUUCGUG
rnacentral:rRNA from 1 species